CCAUGUUGUACAGCAGAUAUCUAGAGCUUAUUUAUCUUGCUUGACAGAAACUUUAUGCCUAUUGAUUAGUAAUUUCCUGCUUGUUUUAUUUCGUAUUGUUUACUUUUUGUAUGUGGCUAGUCAUUACCUUGGUCCAAAAUGGUAACGUGUGAGUUGCCCUAUAUAUUAUUUUCAUUCAAGGAGUCAGAGGGUAUUUAAUCUUUAUGUCCUAGCAGAUGAAAAUAUUUGGGUACAUGCUACAUUUCAAUGAAAAAUGAGACCAGACAUUAAAGACAGAAGAAAGGAGACUUCAUAGAAAUAAAUGGCUGAAGGGCAGUGUGGACCAGUGUCCUCAGAUUGUUUAGGCAAGUUGCUUCACCUCCCUGAACUUCAAUUUCAACACCACUUAAAUGAUAAUAACAAUGCCUUCCUGCUAGUAAUGACGACUGAAUGCAUCAGAAUUAAAAGGGUAAACGUGUAAAAGCAUAGCUACUGAAUAAAUGUUGCUUCAAUAUAAGUUUUUAAAUAUUUGAUAAUAAUGUGUUUCCAUUGCACGGGAAGAAAGUGUGUGAACAUCCAAACAGGAAAACAAGGUCAUCCAUAUUUAAUACUCAAUGCCCCCUCACUCCUUUACACUCACUGCACAACAUCCCUGAAAAGAUGAAGACUUGGGGACAGCGGAUGUUUAUAAGUAGUUGCUGAUAAAUGUGUUUGCUUGCUACCCUGUGGCCCAAGGCUUUUACUUUAUGAAUAUUGAAAGAACAUAAUCAAAUCUAUCCAGGUCCGAACUAAUGUAAUAGUAACAGUCUUUCUGAAUGCCAUGGUUUUGGAGCACAUUUCAUGGUAAAGCAGCUAAACAGCUACUACAGUGAGAGGUGAGCCCACACUGGCCACCACCUGCAAUCUGUGUUGUCCCAGAGUCAAUCCAGAUCAUGGUUCUCUCUUGAGGCCUUCAGACCAAGGUGCAGGGACAGCUUUUCUCCCUUCAUUUUUACAUUUUUCUUCUUUCCCUUUUGCUCUUGUUAAGAGCUACCUGUAUAAAGUACUUUAUUACUCAUCUUCUAAGAGCAAAGGGAAAAUUCAAUGAACCUAUCUGAACCUUGGUAAUGCAACAUUAAU
rnacentral:lncRNA from 1 species